GGCGGACGGGUGAGUAACACGUGGGUAACCUGCCCUUAAGUGGGGGAUAACAUUUGGAAACAGAUGCUAAUACCGCAUAGAUCCAAGAACCGCAUGGUUCUUGGCUGAAAGAUGGCGUAAGCUAUCGCUUUUGGAUGGACCCGCGGCGUAUUAGCUAGUUGGUGAGGUAAUGGCUCACCAAGGCGAUGAUACGUAGCCGAACUGAGAGGUUGAUCGGCCACAUUGGGACUGAGACACGGCCCAAACUCCUACGGGAGGCAGCAGUAGGGAAUCUUCCACAAUGGACGCAAGUCUGAUGGAGCAACACCGCGUGAGUGAAGAAGGCUUUCGGGUCGUAAAACUCUGUUGUUGGAGAAGAAUGGUCGGCAGAGUAACUGUUGUCUGCGUGACGGUAUCCAACCAGAAAGCCACGGCUAACUACGUGCCAGCAGCCGCGGUAAUACGCAGGUGGCAAGCGUUAUCCGGAUUUAUUGGGCGUAAAGCGAGCGCAGGCGGUUUUUUAAGUCUGAUGUGAAAGCCCUCGGCUUAACCGAGGAAGCGCAUCGUAUACUGGCAAACUUGAGUGCAGAAGACGACAGUGGAACUC
rnacentral:rRNA from 1 species